rnacentral:rRNA from 1 species
UACGGGGGGAGCAAGCGUUGUUCGGAUUUACUGGGCGUAAAGGGCGCGUAGGCGGUCAGCACAAGUCAGUUGUGAAAUCUCCGGGCUUAACUCGGAAAGGUCAACUGAUAGUGUGCGACUAGAGUGCGGUAGGGGAGACUGGAAUUCCUGGUGUAGCGGUGAAAUGCGCAGAUAUCAGGAGGAACACCGGUGGCGAAGGCGGGUCUCUGGGCCGUAACUGACGCUGAGGAGCGAAAGCAUGGGGAGCGAACAGG